rnacentral:lncRNA from 1 species
AUUUAAAUUCAGCUUAUGUAGAAAGCAGGUUGAGUUUGUUUCAUGUCGUUCUCACUGUUGACUGAGUUUGAAGAGCAUUGCACUGACUCUUGGCUUCGCAUCAUGCACAGUGUGCUCUUGCUCUUGUGUAUCGACAGAUGUGAAGAGCAAGGGGGACUUGGGCAGAUAUUUUGGACAGCUAGAUAAAGUCAGACAUUCCUUGGAAACUGAUACAAUCUUUGUUUCAGAAGAGAUCACAAAGCCCCAAAGACGUUUAUCAGUUCCACAGUGAGGCAUUGUGGGGGGCCUCAAGCCAAGCAAUGGCAUCUGCGGCCCCUGAUGGGAUUGAUACACACAGGCCAUCUGAAACGGAAACCACUUUCCCAAGAUAGCUGGACUGCCUUCAUUUGGAGAUCUUACCACUUUGUAGAAUUUGAAGAAAACUUGCAUGGAAUCACGGAAUAAAGAUGUCAGCCAAGAAAUGUCCUGGAAGACAUCUGCCCUAUAUAUGUGUGCAACAAUCUGCUGUUUGAAAAACAGCAAUCAUAUUCAGUGUAGCUUGUAAUCUACACUUUGCUUGAGAAAGAUAAUGAUUGUGAAUGGAAAUACAUCUGGGUCUCUUUAAAAUAUUGAGCACCGUGCUCAUUUAUAAAUGUGUAAACAUUGAUUGCAAUCAGCUACGAUUGGAUGGCAUCUCUUCUCACCUCCAGAAUGGGCUGGAGCUGGUUGGAGAUUCUGAGGGCAUGCCAUCAUAGAUGAAAGUUCUAAGGGGAAAAACAGAUUCCAACGGGAAAGGCACAGCCAUACAGGGGAGCAUCAGGGGUGAUUUUCUUUACCAGAGAGCUGCUCCUGGCUAUUUCAAUAAGAAGAGACUGGUGGCUUGGACACUAUGGAAAAAGCUGGGCAAACAUGAAGAAGUAGAUACGCCUGGUUCCACAGAGAACAGAGUACGAACGGAGAUUGUCCAAUAGGACCUUGACAUGGAAAAACCCUGAGUGAUCCAGAAGAGAAGAGAGGAAACAUUCAGGACAAGCAGCACAGUCAGAGAGGUUCAAGUUCACAUGAGUGACAGCAGCAAAAUGUCUUGGACAUCCAGGAAGCAAUAUAAGGACACCAGGGCCUCCAAGGAGUUCAAAGUGCAUGCAGGAGUCAGGAAUUACAAAGAUAUAAGCUGAAAUAAACAAAGGGAAAAACUAGAAAAGAGGAUAAAUAAAUUCCCAAAGCAGUUCUUUGAAAAUAUUUACAAGAUAGAAGAAGAAGAAGAAAAAACUACGAGACGAUUCCCUAUGGCAACAAAAUUGGAAACCUAAAGAAAAUGUAUAGACUGGUUCUGCUUACAGUGUGGACAAGGGAGUUCUUACCAUGCCAAUCAUAAACUAAAGACUAAAUAAGAACACAGCUACUUGAAGGCAUUGGAAAUGUAUAUUUUGGAGGCAGAUUUUGGAUUGACACUUAGAAGAAGGAAAGAGCAUGGGAUGAGUUCUCUCCUCUUAUUUUCUGAGGGCAGGUUUCAGUCUAUAAGAUGCAGGGGGGCAAAAACUCUGAAAGAAACCAUCAAUCUUAUUGGCUUGUUGAACCAGAGGAUUCAAGGAAACCACAGCCACAAGAAAGUGAAGAGAUUCCUAGAGAGAGCCAGAAAGGGAGAAGCCCAAAUUCUAGGUGUAAAACUGCUCAAAUCUUUGGUGGAACCUCAACUAUUACACAGAGCAGACUGAGAGGCCCAUCUAAGGCUAAAAGAAUGGAACUGAUAUUUGAGGUGCCACCCAAGACAUAGAGUUUGCAGUUUGAAUCCAACCAUAUUAAAUUGCUGCUUAAACAAAGAAGUUAAAUGCAGAAUGUAAACAACUUAACACUACAAUGAUCAAGAUACAAACAAAGUUACAAAAAUGUGACCCACUUUUUGAGAGAAAGGAAUUCUAAGGUAGCUCAGAUGUUGGAAUUAGCAGACAAACAUUUAAAGCAGCUGUUAUAAAUAUGUUCACUGAUAUGAAGGAAAAUAUGUUCAAAAUUAAUGAAAAGAUAGGACAUCUCAGAAGAGAAAUAGAAGCCACAAAAAAGAAUCAAAAAUUUUAAAAUUUGCUGAAUGAGAUUCAGAGCAGAAUGGAGAUGACAGAGGAAAACCAGUGAAGUUAAAGAUAGAUGGGUAGAUAUGAUCCAAUCUGAAGUUUGAAGAGAAACAAUAUUGAGAAGAAAAUGAGCAGAGUCCCAGGAAUCUAUGGGACAAGAGGUUUAACAUAUGCGUAAUUGGAGUCUUAGAAAGAGGUAGGGAGAGAAUGGGGCUGAAAAAACUAUUUUAAGAAACAAUGACUAAAGAUUUCCCAAAUUUAACAAAAGUAAAAAAUUUCCAAAUUCAAAAAACUCAGCUAAGAGAAACUAUGGCACUAAGAAGACAAGAAGAGAACAUCUUUAAAGUGUUGAAAGACAAAACCAAAAACCUGCCCAUCCAGAAAUCUAUAUCCAGUGAAAAUAUCCUUUGAGAACGUAAGGCAAAAUAAUGUUUUUUCAGGCCAAAGAAAACUAAGGGAAUUUGUCAUCAGCACAUCUGCACUAUAAGAAUGAAUGAAAGGAAGUUCAUUAGACUGAAGGGAAAUGAUCCAAGAGGCAAAUUUGGAUCUCAAGAAAUGAAUGAGGG